rnacentral:rRNA from 1 species
CCUACGGGAGGCAGCAGUGGGGAAUAUUGGGCAAUGGGCGCAAGCCUGACCCAGCAACGCCGCGUGAAGGAAGAAGGCUUUCGGGUUGUAAACUUCUUUUAAGAGGGAAGAGCAGAAGACGGUACCUCUUGAAUAAGCCACGGCUAACUACGUGCCAGCAGCCGCGGUAAUACGUAGGUGGCAAGCGUUGUCCGGAUUUACUGGGUGUAAAGGGCGUGUAGCCGGGCUGACAAGUCAGGUGUGAAAACUCCGGGCUCAACCUGGAGACUGCACUUGAAACUGGGUGUCUUGAGGGCAGGAGAGGAAAGUGGAAUUCCUAGUGUAGCGGUGAAAUGCGUAGAUAUUAGGAGGAACACCAGUGGCGAAGGCGACUUUCUGGACUGUACCUGACGCUGAGGCGCGAAAGCGUGGGUAGCGAACGGGAUUAGAUACCCCGGUAGUC